GAACGUUCUGACAUUGUUAAUUCUUUUUACGUCUUCAUUUCACGUUUUUCAUAUUUUCCCACUCGAACGGAACAUUUUCCAACAACCAAAAAUUACUUUAUUCUCCAAAUAAUAGCAUUAUUAUCGAGAAAAAAGAGAGAAUCGACGGAACGUAGACACUAAUCUCGAGACUCGAGAGUUCGAUAAUAAUCGCACUAAUACAUUCGAGAGCUCGAAACUCAUAGCUCUGUCACAGUCUUUAACCGAUCGUGUCCGAAUAUUGCCGAAUCAUUCCGAAGUCGUCGAAGCCCGAUCCUGUCCGAAGUUUUCCGAUUCAUUCCGAAAUUUGGAUUCCAGAGUGUGAAACGUUCUGACAUUGUUAAUUCUUUUUACGUCUUCAUUUCACGUUUUUCAUAUUUUCCCACUCGAACGGAACAUUUUCCAACAACCAAGAAUUACUUCAUUCUUCAAAUAAUAUUAUUAUUAUCGAGAAAAAAGAGGAACUAAAUGCUUUCAAAGAGAAUUUAUAUGGUACAUGGUCAUACAUUUAAACGGAGCAUAAAUGGUAUAAGUAAGAGGCUUUUACAAUUGAUACCUUAGCUACGUUCCACGCUUGAUACUCCACCUAGUAAAUGGAAUAAAAACAAAAAAAGAAAAAUACUUCCACUUCCACCUCGCGAGUUCCGCAUUACGAGGCAUUAAAACCAUGCUCGGUCCAAUUAGGAAGAGAAACAAGGCAAUUAAAUAACGAAACAAAUACGAGGUUCCCGCGACAAGCAAGUUGGUCGAGCAAACACGGGACGCGGAUCAGGAUUUCCGUGGGAAUCUCUACGUUACAAGAAACGUCUAUCUCGUGAGCGAGAGCCCGUGAACGAAGAAGGAAUAUUUGCUCUUGUCCCCGCGUCGGGCACGCGCCAUAAAACCGCCACCCCUGUGGCUUAAGUCUGCGAGGCGACAGCGGUCGGCCGAGGUUGCAGCGGUGCAAUUGUCUUUGCUUGCUCAACGGUCAACUAUUUUUCGACUGUGACGUGGUUUCGGGAUUCCUUUCGUGGUGGAGGAGGAGGAGGAGGAGGAGGGCAGCGAAAGUGAAACGUUACUUUCGCCGUUUCCACGGGCAAGAAAUCCUGGGAAUCUUGGUAUGCGUGACCACGAAAUAAUGGAGCUUUGCUCACGGUCGAGCAUGGAUUUUCUUUCCCUUUUCCUUCGUGAUAAAGCUGAACUCGAAUUGAUAGAUCAGAUUAAAUUCUCUCUUAAAUUUUAUCCGUUGGAUUAAUUUAAAUUUUGUGCAAUGAUAUAAUUAAGGAGAAAUAGGUUUUUUUGAGAAUUUCGUUUUUAUUUGUUUA